rnacentral:rRNA from 1 species
UGGGGAAUAUUGCACAAUGCGCGAAACCCUGAUGCAGCCCUGCCGCGUGUAUGAAGAAGGCAUUCGGGUUGUAAAGUACUUUCAGUCGUGAGGAAGGGUGUGUAGGUGAUAGCUGCCUAUCUUGACGUUACCGACAGAAGAAGCACCGGCUAACUCCGUG